rnacentral:rRNA from 1 species
GAUGAACGCUGGCGGCGUGCCUAAUACAUGCAAGUCGAGCGAACAGACGAGGAGCUUGCUCCUCUGACGUUAGCGGCGGACGGGUGAGUAACACGUGGAUAACCUACCUAUAAGACUGGGAUAACUUCGGGAAACCGGAGCUAAUACCGGAUAAUAUAUUGAACCGCAUGGUUCAAUAGUGAAAGACGGUUUUGCUGUCACUUAUAGAUGGAUCCGCGCCGCAUUAGCUAGUUGGUAAGGUAACGGCUUACCAAGGCAACGAUGCGUAGCCGACCUGAGAGGGUGGUCGGCCACACUGGAACUGAGACACGGUCCAGACUCCUACGGUGGGCAGCAGUAGGGAAUCUUCCGCAAAGGGCGAGAGCCUGACGGAGCAACGCCGCGUGAGUGAUGAAGGUCUUCGGAUCGUAAAACUCUGUUAUUAGGGAAGAACAAAUGUGUAAGUAACUAUGCACGUCUUGACGGUACCGAAUCAGAAAGCCACGGCUAACUACGUG